rnacentral:rRNA from 1 species
GACGUAGGGGGCUAGCGUUGUCCGGAAUCAUUGGGCGUAAAGAGCGUGUAGGCGGUCCGGUAAGUCCGUUGUGAAAGUCAAAGGCUCAACCUUUGAAUGCCGAUGGAUACUGUCGAGCUAGAGUCCGGAAGAGGCGAGUGGAAUUCCUGGUGUAGCGGUGGAAUGCGCAGAUAUCAGGAGGAACACCAAUAGCGAAGGCAGCUCGCUGGGACGGUACUGACGCUAAGGCGCGAAAGCGUGGGGAGCGAACGAGGA